rnacentral:rRNA from 1 species
CCAGACUCCUACGGGAGGCAGCAGUGAGGAAUAUUGGUCAAUGGCCGAGAGGCUGAACCAGCCAAGUCGCGUGAGGGAUGACGGCCCUACGGGUUGUAAACCUCUUUUGCCGGGGAGCAAAGAGCGGGACGCGUCCCGCCUCGAGAGUACCCGGAGAAAAAGCAUCGGCUAACUCCGUGCCAGCAGCCGCGGUAAUACGGAGGAUCCGAGCGUUAUCCGGAUUCAUUGGGUUUAAAGGGUGCGUAGGUUGUUUUAUAAGUUAGCGGUGAAAUACCGAUGCUCAACAUCGGGGCUGCCGCUAAUACUGUAGGACUAGAGAUCGGAUGCAGCAGGCGGAAUGUGUAGUGUAGCGGUGAAAUGCAUAGAUAUUACACAGAACACCGAUUGCGAAGGCAGCUUGCUAGGCCGGAUCUGACACUGAUGCACGAAAGCGUGGGGAUCGAACAGGAUUAGAUACCCUAGUA